AUCAGAUAUAUGGGAGCGGCGAAGGCGCUCACAAAUAUCUGAACACGCCUCUAUUGUGAGAGCGUUAGAGUUGCGUGUUCAGAUAUUGUGAACACCUUGGCCGCUCCGAUAUAUCUGAUGGCGAUUGUACAAGGGUGCCAUUGUAAGUAAAAUCCGCCGCACACACGUCCGCGUUAGACAGCGUUUCUCAUAUAGGGACUAUUUUUCCUUAACCUUUUGGACGCCAAUGACCGAUAUAUCCGCACCGGCCAAAGACUGAUUAAUCGAUCACAGACCACAGAGCAACGUAGACCUACGUGGAUAUGCAAAGAGUUCAAUUUCAAUUUUGACACUUCGGUGACGUGGCGUCCGGGUGACUGCUUUUGUGUUUGACACGGCGUCGAAAAGGUUAACCCGGUCACAGCUAGCGGACGCCCUAACAUGGCACAUCCUUUGCGUUAUGUAUGUUAUGGGGUUACUUCAACCAAAGAGCUCUUUUGAUGUAGUUUAUGUCCAUUUAACAAUAAAUUAAUAAUUAUAUUGGGGACACUCUAAGGUACGACAUCUAAUAGGCGAUGAUAUACAUACCUACACUCUGAUAAAUACAUACAUUAUCAUAUUUGAAACCCGUGACCAUGAAAUUAACCUAUAUUAUUAUAUUACAUCUAAAUUUACCGUAACCUUAUAUCCGUAGUGUAGUUAGUAAUUAUUAGAAACGAUAUGAUUUAGAGACAAUUUUAUUUAUAAGUAAAAAUAUUAUCAUAAUAUAAUUAUAUUAAUUAUGUAAAAAUAUAACGAUGUCAUUAUUGUGAUGGAGAAAAUAAAUAAAUGUCUUUUUUUAA